rnacentral:rRNA from 1 species
UAACACUNCNCUUGGGAGACGACCNCAAGGUUNAACUCAANGGAUUNNCGGGGNNNCCACAAGCGGUGGAGCNUNUGUUUAAUUCGAAGCAACGCGAAGACCCUUACCAGGUCUUGACAUCCCUCUGACCUCUCUAGAGAUAGAGAUNUNCUUCGGGACAGAGGUGACAGGUGGUGCAUNGUUGUCGUCAGCUCGUGUCGUGAGAUGUUGGGUUAAGUCCCGCAACGAGCGCAACCCCUAUUGUUAGUNGCCAUCAUUCAGUUGGGCACUCUAGCGAGACUGCCGGUAAUAAACCGGAGGAAGGUGGGGAUGACGUCAAAUCAUCAUGCCCCUUAUGACCUGGGCUACACACGUGCUACAAUGGCUGGUACAACGAGUCGCAAGCCGGUGACGGCAAGCUAAUCUCUUAAAGCCAGUCUCAGUUCGGAUUGUAGGCUGCAACUCGCCUACAUGAAGUCGGAAUCGCUAGUAAUCGCGGAUCAGCACGCCGCGGUGAAUACGUUCCCGGGCCUUGUACACACCGCCCGUCACACCACGAGAGUUUGUAACACCCGAAGUCGGUGAGGUAACCUUUUAGGAGCCAGCCGCCUAAGGUGGGAUAGAUGAUUGGGGUGAAGUCGUAACAAGGUAACCA